rnacentral:tRNA from 1 species
GCCUGGGUGGCUCAGUCGGUUGAGCAUCUGACUUAGGCUCAGGUCAUGAUCUCACAGUUCGUGAGUUCGAGCCCCGCAUUGGGCU